CCAGUCGGCCGGGCAGCCGCGGCGUCCUCAUGCCGAAAGGCGGACGUCGAGGAAAGUCCGGGCUCCAUGGAGAACGGUGCCGGAUAACGUCCGGCGGGGGCGACCCCAGGGACAGUGCCACAGAAAGCAAACCGCCCGCGCGCCAGCGCGGGUAAGGGUGAAAGGGUGGGGUAAGAGCCCACCGCAUGGCCGGUAACGGACCAUGGCACGGUAAACCCCACCGGGAGCAAGACCGAAUAGGGACGGCGCGGGCGCAAGCCCGGUGUCUCCGCACCAGCCGUCCGGGUGGGUUGCAUGAGGCGUCCGGCGACGGGCGUCCCAGAUGAAUGGCUGCCGGGCCGCGAAAGCGGCUCACAGAACCCGGCUUACAGGCCGACUGGCAAU
rfam:Lyngbya confervoides BDT141951 scaffold_92, whole genome shotgun sequence.